rnacentral:rRNA from 1 species
UACGUAGGGGGCAAGCGUUGUCCGGAUUUAUUGGGCGUAAAGAGCGUGUAGGCGGCCAAGCAGGUCCGCUGUGAAAACUCGAGGCUCAACCUCGAGACGUCGGUGGAACCGUUUGGCUAGAGUCCGGAAGAGGAGAGUGGAAUUCCUGGUGUAGCGGUGAAAUGCGCAGAUAUCAGGAAGAACACCAAUGGCGAAGGCAGCUCUCUGGGACGGUACUGACGCUGAGACGCGAAAGCGUGGGGAGCAAACAGG